GGAAAUGUGGUACAUCAGUGGCAGGGCAUCUGCUUGGCAUGUAGAGGGUCGCAGGUUCAAUUCCUGCUAAUUUUUU
rnacentral:tRNA from 1 species